CGUCAGUGUGUUGUGCACUCCUGUGGAGCUAACUUGUGCUGCUAAGACAGACGAACCAGCUUGUCACAAAUCUGACCAGCCUCCGGUCUCAAGCUAGGCAUAAGCCUCCACAGAUGCUAUACCUGUAUACCUGAGCACUUUGGCCACUUUGCUUCUGGGUGCCGCCCCCUGCCUCUCCGAUGGUUGGGGACUGUGUGAAUCCCAUCUGCAGCGGUUUCUCAUUUUUUCCUGCCUAGGUUAUCCUUUUGGCUGUCAACUUGUGUCCAUCUGGCCUGAUUUUUCAGGCAGGUGAUGGUAUCAGGGUAUUAUACACCCUGUUGUUUGUUUACAUCCACUACGGACCAGCAGAAUCCAAACUCUGAUCUCAACCACCCCUGAAGAAGCCUAACCAGGCGAAAUAUAUAGGGUUUACCAACCGGGUUGUGAUCUCUGCUACAGUAUUUAUGUCUGUUAUGGAAACCUUUUAAUUUUGUUAUACUUGUUCAGGUUGUUUUGAUUUAUGAAUUGGGCUCCGUUAGAGUCUAUGAUAUGUCCUACAACCUGACGCUAUUUUUU